ACUUUUUGUUCACCUCAUAAGUUCAGCUAUGUGGAAGUUAUUCGUUGCUACAAAUCUUGUGUGUUUUGGUUUAUUCGUGGUGGAUUCGUAAAAUAUUUUUUAAAAAGGAUUCUUCUGAAUGGAUACAUUCAAAGGGCUCACACCCAGAAAUUAACGGGCCCUUUGUACUGUACACUAAAAAACACAACUCCUUACGAUGAAACCAUAGAGCUAGGAUGACACACACGGACUCCAGGUCAAAUGACUGACCGUGGCCUUGAACUGCAUAGCAGGCUAGAUCUCAGGGCAGUGGAAAAACAACACCUUUAGCUUACUUUAUGAACAGAGUUUUGGUUUGUGCCACAAGGGAGAAACAUUUGUUUUUCUCUGUCUUCUAACUCUGGAUGAGAUCUUGUUAAUGUGCAUCUUUGGAUGAUCCGCUUACAUCAACUCCUGUGGGCACAGAAAAAAAAAUGUUUUCAAUGGGAAAUCAAAUGCUUUUGAUUCUGCGCUGUUUCCUUAUUCAAAUAGUUGUCGCGCUUGGCCAAAGUCUUGAACUGUACAUCAUGAUGUCCGGAAUGGUGGUGGUUGU
rnacentral:sRNA from 1 species